rnacentral:sRNA from 19 species
GGAAACCGGUGCAAUCCCGGUGCGGUCGCGCCACUGUGAACUGCCAUCAACGGCAGUAAGCCAGGACGC